ACUGCUCAGUAACACGUGGAUAACCUGCCCUUGGGUCCGGCAUAACCCCGGGAAACUGGGGAUAAUUCCGGAUAACGCACAUAUGCUGGAAUGCUUUAUGCGUAAAAUGGAUUCGUCUGCCCAAGGAUGGGUCUGCGGCCUAUCAGGUAGUAGUGGGUGUAAUGUACCUACUAGCCAACAACGGGUACGGGUUGUGAGAGCAAGAGCCCGGAGAUGGAUUCUGAGACAUGAAUCCAGGCCCUACGGGGCGCAGCAGGCGCGAAAACUUUACAAUGCGGGAAACCGUGAUAAGGGGACACCGAGUGCCAGCGUCAUACGCUGGCUGUCCAGGUGUGUAAAAUACACCUGAUAGCAAGGGCCGGGCAAGACCGGUGCCAGCCGCCGCGGUAACACCGGCGGCCCGAGUGGUAAUCGUGAUUAUUGGGUCUAAAGGGUCCGUAGCCGGUUUGGUCAGUCCUCCGGGAAAUCUGACAGCUCAACUGUUAGGCUUUCGGCGGAUACUGCCAGACUUGGAACCGGGAGAGGUAAGAGGUACUACAGGGGUAGGAGUGAAAUCUUGUAAUCCCUGUGGGACCACCUGUGGCGAAGGCGUCUUACCAGAACGGGUUCGACGGUGAGGGACGAAAGCUGGGGGCACGAACCGGAUUAGAUACCCGGGUAGUCCCAGCCGUAAACGAUGCUCGCUAGGUGUCAGGCAUGGCGCGACCGUGUCUGGUGCCGCAGGGAAGCCGUGAAGCGAGCCACCUGGGAAGUACGGCCGCAAGGCUGAAACUUAAAGGAAUUGGCGGGGGAGCAC
rnacentral:rRNA from 1 species